rnacentral:rRNA from 1 species
AUUGAACGCUGGCGGCAGGCCUAACACAUGCAAGUCGAGCGGAUGACGGGAGCUUGCUCCUUGAUUCAGCGGCGGACGGGUGAGUAAUGCCUAGGAAUCUGCCUGGUAGUGGGGGACAACGUUUCGAAAGGAACGCUAAUACCGCAUACGUCCUACGGGAGAAGCAGGGGACCUUCGGGCCCUGCGCUAUCAGAUGAGCCUAGGUCGGAUUAGCUAGUUGGUGGGGUAAUGGCUCGCCAAGGCGACGAUCCGUAACUGGUCUGAGAGGAUGAUCAGUCACACUGGAACUGAGACACGGUCCAGACUCCUACGGGAGGCAGCAGUGGGGAAUAUUGGACAAUGGGCGAAAGCCUGAUCCAGCCAUGCCGCGUGUGUGAAGAAGGUCUUCGGAUUGUAAAGCACUUUAAGUUGGGAGGAAGGGCAGUAAGUUAAUACCUUGCUGUUUUGACGUUACCGACAGAAUAAGCACCGGCUAACUCUGUGCCAGCAGCCGCGGUAACAC